AGCGAACGCUGGCGGCAGGCCUAACACAUGCAAGUCGAACGGACCCUUCGGGGUUAGUGGCGGACGGGUGAGUAACACGUGGGAACGUGCCCUUUGGUUCGGAACAACUCAGGGAAACUUGAGCUAAUACCGGAUGUGCCCUUCGGGGGAAAGAUUUAUCGCCAUUGGAGCGGCCCGCGUCUGAUUAGCUAGUUGGUGAGGUAACGGCUCACCAAGGCGACGAUCAGUAGCUGGUCUGAGAGGAUGAUCAGCCACACUGGGACUGAGACACGGCCCAGACUCCUACGGGAGGCAGCAGUGGGGAAUCUUGCGCAAUGGGCGAAAGCCUGACGCAGCCAUGCCGCGUGAAUGAUGAAGGUCUUAGGAUUGUAAAAUUCUUUCACCGGGGACGAUAAUGACGGUACCCGGAGAAGAAGCCCCGGCUAACUUCGUGCCAGCCGCCGCGGUAAGAC
rnacentral:rRNA from 1 species